UUCCGGGUCGCAAGUGCCUCGGAGCCUUCUGGGAAACCAGAUCAUUUCCUCCCCUCCCCCUCCUCUUGCCUUCAACCAACCAGCCUCCCGUCAGAGAGAGACAUGCGCAGUGAGUGCCUCCCGUCUCUUCUACCCGAACCCCCCCUCCCCCCCCCAGCAGAGAGACCCCAGCAGCAGCAGCAGCUGAUGAUGAAGAGAGAGGCAGUGGCAGAGGGGGGGCACCUUUUAUUUCUAUUUUUAAAGGGACAGGACACUAAUUUUACCCCACUUCAACCUUGAAUUGAGGGGGGUGGGGGGAAGGCGGCUGAGUUCCUUCCCCCACCCUCCAGCCCUGAGACCUGAGAGGGGGAUUGAGCCUGAGAGAGAAGAAGAAGGAGUUUCUUCUUCUUCGAAAACCCCCAUCCACGACUCCUACCCCCUCACCCCUCCACUAGCCUCCCUCCCGAGCCCCCUCCACCCUCCUCCUCUUUGGCCGUGAGAGGAGGAGAGAAAGAGACCAAAAGCCUCUUAGCAACACAGACCCUUCUCUGCUGCUGCUGCUGCUGCUGCUACUGCUGCUGCUGCUUGGCCCUGGCUGGAGACAUCUCACUACACCCAGGAGCAGCCACUUCCCCAGCUCUCCUCCUCCUUCGCCUCCUCCUCCUCCACUCCCCCCCCUUUAUUACCCUUUGUGUCAUCCUCCACAGCUCCAGGGAAGGCACUCAAAAGUGGGGGGCAGGAAAGACACUUAUCAACUUUCCAGUUUUCUAUGGAUAUGAAGAUUUACUCCUAGUCAUCAGUGGGACCCCAUGAAGUCAGCCAGAAAGCCUAUGUCCAACUUAUGUACCUUUGCAAACUUGUCUGGAUUUUGAAUGUAUGUGCAAAACAGAUUGUACUUAGGUAUUCAUUAAACAUCUUUUGAGCAUCUACUGUCUGUCAGGCACUGUGCUAGGCAUCUGAGAAACAAGGAUGGUCCCUACAGUUUAAUGUGAAGAGGUAUUUUAAUUGUAUUCCACAAGUAUAUUGGUCAUAACUUUAUUUUGAUGUUUCUAAAUAAAUUUUAUAUUAACUAAAUAAAUGGAUACUGUUAGGUGGAAAAAUGCAUGUUUAAGAAGGAUUUUGCUGUAUUUUAUUAAAAUAGAAAUAUAUAAUGAAAAAUUUUCCACUUAAUACUGUAUUCUGGGGCUUUCUAUUCUGUAUAUAAUUCACUAAUUUUAGACCAUAAAAAUAGUCUAUGUGACCAUCAUUACUAGUAUUUUAUUGAUACAUACUUUUAUUUGAAGAUUAUCAACAUUGUUUAUUGAAGUAUCUCUUAUAAAAUUAUUCCAAAACAAAAAACAAAACCCAAACUCUCCAAACUUAAACUUUUUUUUUCUCAAAAGUAACUUCUCUUCUUACAUUUCAUAUACCAGGUUAUCUUUCAUGGUUCAUUGGAAUACAUGGUACAUCAUUUUCAUUUUGAUCAUUUAGUUAUUUUCUAUAGUUUAAGCUAACAGUAUAAUUUAUUUAUCAUGGAAUAAUUAUGGUAUAUACUGUUCAGGAGUUUUGGAAUUUUCAUUGUGUGCUAGAUAAAUUCCUCCAAGAUGCUCAUUAGAAACUUUCCAGUUCUAUCUCUAAAUUAGUUAGUUGCAAUUAUUAAUCCUUACUAUGUUCUGUAACUUCAGUAAAAUGAGUUAUUAAUUUCUUAGUUAAUGGAUGUUUCAAAACCAAAGAAUACUAUCUUGGUUCCUAUCAUGGCUUUCGUAUGUAAUUUAAAGAUUAGAGAGAGAUUUCCUGGAUUUUCUUUGUCCUUCUUAAACUGUACCUCUUAGAGUAAUAUUGAUUCACAAUUUGGAAGGAGGAGGGGCUUGGGCUCCCUUGCUGGUACAGUAUUUUUGUGCAGGUAAAUAGAUUCCUGAAGGUCAAUCUGAUCUCUUUCAAAGUCAUUCUUAACUUUUAUUUUAGUACUAAUCAUAAUUACCAUUUAUUAUAAGUAUCUAAUACUGUGACAAAUAUAACAAAACACACAUCCUGUGAAUUUUGAACAUUGUUCCCGUGUUAUAAAUGGGGAAAUCUAUUACUGACAAAACAGCAUUUUACAUAUAGCAGCAAAAUAUUCAAUCACAGUAAAUUCAUAACUUUUUAAUUUAAAAUACAGACACAGUAACUUUUAUCAGUCAGUAAUUUCUCUGGUAAACAUCAGUAAAAUCAUUGCCCCAGUAGCUUAUUGAUGGAGUGAUGGAAAAUUUCUAAAAGUUUACAAGGACAGAAAAACAAUUAAAAAAAAAUCCAAUUCUUUAUAAGGAGCAUAGAUACAGAUCAGUGUGCAACUUGAAGUAAAAUACACUUGACCCUUGAACAACACAGGUUUGAACUGUUCGUCCACUUAUAUGCAAAUUUUUUAUAGCACUGUAAGUAUUUUUUUCUUCCUUAAUGAUUUUCUUAACUUUUUUCCUCUAGCUUUAUUAUAAGAAUACAAUAUAUAAUACAUGUAACAUACAAAAUGUGUGUUAAUUGACUGUUUAUGUUAUUGGUAAGGCUUCUGGUCAACAGUAGGCUUUUGGUAGUUAACUUUUAGGGGAGAUAGAAAUUAUACUGGAUUUUCAACUGCGCAGAGGUCAGCACUCUCAUUGUUCAAGGGUCAGCUGUAAACGUAAAGUCAAUCUUCUCUUUGUAUGGCAAAAAUUACAUUUAGGCUUUCUACAUAUUGAACUUCCUUUCUCUUGCAUGAGUUACAUUUAGCAUUUUGUUACAUGAAGUUUGAAAGUUCCAACAAUUUGUGACCCAGUGAAUAUUUACUAUAAACAUUUUAAUGUAAAUGUUGAUAAUGGAAAACCUCGAAAUAGAGGAGACUUUAUAUUGUCUAAUGCUUGAGUGUUUAUAUACACAUAUCUUCUGGAUCCUGUAUCUUAAAAGAUUUUCAUAAUUACCACAUUACACAUAUAGAAUUAAGUUUAAUGUAUUCUUUUUAGUACUAUUUAAAGUCAGAAAUAUUUUUAAUAUAAGAAUGGACAACUUGUUGGUUUCUCCAGAUUCCUAAAUUAUUAUUCUUUAAAGCAGCUACUGAAUUAAAAUACUUUUUGAUCUAGCUAACUAGAGUUGAUUUUUACAUUCUUUGCUUCUAGGAGAAAAGAGUAAUUUGUAAAAAUUACUAAUCAAGUAAUUUUCAUAUUUAUCCUAAGUAGAUAUACACAUUCAUCCUAUAUGCAUAAGUUGCUGAUAUCAUUCUAUAAGCAAUUAUGCCAAUGCAUUAUGUCCUGUAGAAUUUCAAAAUAUUUUAAAUGCUGAGGAACUAUUCUCUGUUAUCUAUUAUACUUCAGAAAGGAAAUUUUAUACCAAAUUAGUUUUAUUGUUUUUAAGAACAAUCUAAGUAAUUGGUCAGAUAGAAUAAGUCAUUGGUCUCCAGUAAUUUCCUUAGAUAACCCAAAGGUAAUUCUUAAGAGGUAAUACCUAAAUAUAGGUACCCAAAGGUACCUAUAUUACCCAAAGGUAAUACCUAAAUAUAAAGAUUAAAAGUAAAGAUUCUUACUUGUCAUUGUUUCUGUUUGAGGUACUUCUAUAUCAUGUAAAGUUUCAGAAGUUGGAAUGACUCAGAAUUUUUCAGAAAGACAAGGUGAGAACCAGGCUUAACAUCUAUUAAAGACAUAUCUUCUAAUGUAGUUGGACAUAAUGGAAAAUAAAAUCACUAAUGACAUCAUACUGGUGUAAAGCAUACACUUCAUUCAAAGUUGUAGGUGACUAAUUCUAACUUGAGUCCUAUUUCAGUUGACCUAUAUAACCUUUUCUUAGAGAACUUGUAAUUAAAUUUUGUGUCAUUGAAUAAUUUAUUAGAACAUAUUAUGUUAAAGGACUAAAAUGAGUUACAUAAAUCAGUCACCAGCCUUGCAGUGGUGAAAAAUUUUUGCACAUCCAUGCUUCACUGAGUUCUUUGCCAACCAACCAACAUUCAGGCAAUGAGAGGAAAAAUUUCUGUAUGGGGCUAGUGUUAAAAUUUACAUUCUUGUGCUGCCCUUUUUUUUUGUUGUUGUUUUUAAUUUAAUGUCUAACUCAUGGAAGUUUGUUUCUUCAGGUUGACUGAAUGCAAAAUUAGAUUUAUCCUUGCAUCCAAAGCCAUCUUUUUCUAUAUACGUUGAGUUCAGACAUGUUCUACUGAUCUGUUGACCAUUAAUUAACUUAGUUUAUACAAUCUUAAUGUUACUAUCUAAAAAUAAUAAUCUUGGUUGUAUAUAUACAGUCACUAAUGUUGGAGGAGGGAAGUAUUCCACAUCCAACAAAAGAAACGUAUUGAUUUUUAAAUAGCUUUCCAUACUUGGGAUUACUGAUCUAAAAAACAGCAGCUAUGUAAGUUAAAAAGGAUUUUUAUUUAUUUGGAAAGUCAAAUGUAAAGUGUAUCAUUAAUGAAUGAAUAUUAAGCAACAUCAAAAUAUUUAGAAAGUCAAAUACAUGUUGCAGUAAUGACAGAACUAUAGAGGCUAUUUUUUAGCAUUAUUCCAAAAUCAUUUUCCUUCUUCUACAUUUGUCACACGAGUUUUUGCUGAAGGAUUUCUUGGCCAUUUUAGAGACUGUAAUCUAGUUAAAAGGUUUGUUUAUACUUCCCAUCUCUGUUCUGCUGAUGGUAUUAGAAUGCAGGCCAGAGCCAGACAUCUAACUGUUUAUAACAUUCAAACUUCAAUUAAAGCUGCAGUGUUCAGUUCACUAUAUAUCAGAAAGCUUAUACCAGCUACAAAUAUCACCACUAAUGAUGGCAAUGAUUUUGUGUAGCCAUAGGCCUUCCUAAAUUAUGCCAUUCCUUGUGAAUACUUUUUUCAUUUUAGAUGGUAUUAACAUUAAUUCUUUCAUAGAAGUCUAAAGAUGAAGUUUAUUUUCUACCAGUAGUAAAACAUUUUCUUUAGCAGUUUCUUUUGAUAAUGAAACCAAACAGCUUAUAUUAUUGUAUAUCUUAUUUAAAUGGCCAGUUUAGUUUUUAGUUUUUUUUUUUUAAUUAAUAAAUUUGAUAGUAGAUGUUUGUUAGCUAAUUGAUUCAACUCAGGUUUCCAGUUUGAAGAAAGUAGCGAUAUGUUGCGUAAUAGAAAACAAAAGUAACAGUCAUAUUACUACAGUGUUUUGUGUAUGUGAGGAGACUAGACCCACAUAGUACAGAUUUUAAUUUAAUCUUAUGUUGUUUUUCUGGUCUGCUGCUCUGCUGUUUGUGGUUUCUAUGUUCUAAGUAUGUUGGUAAACUAUUUAAAUUUUUUUCUUUUGAAAACUUUUAAGAAUUCUUUAAAAACAUUUCUUCAGCAGCUUCACUGUUUUUGCUCAUUCUACCUCAUUGAUUUAGAAAAUGAAUUAUGUGUGUAUGUGUUUAAUUUUGUAAUGACUAGGCAAAUUUGCUAUGUUAUAUUGCUUUCUCUUUUUAUAAGAAUAAAUUUUAGUUUUUACUAAUUUUAGACCUUGAUUACUAAAUUUAUACAUUCUUUAUGUACAUACAUAUAUUUUUUAUUAAAAUACAAGUUUAUAGGAGGCUUAAACGUUUUAGGAAAGAUGAAAAAUCAUAUUAAAUUCAAUGAAUACUUGCUAUAAUGCUUUUAAUUAAAAUACAUUACAAUGGAAAAAUCUACAUUACACAUUUUCCUGGCACUGAAAGAAAGAAUUCAUUUAUUUUGAAAUUUUAUAAGAAAGUUAAAAAAUACUACCUAGAGUGUUUGAGGAUAAGAACUAACAACAACCAGAGAGCCUGGGUGGCUUAGUUGAUUGAGCAUCUGUUGAUUUUGCCUCAAGUCAUGAUCCCGGGGUCAUGGGAAUGAGCCCCGCAUCAGGCUCUGCACUGAGCAUGGAGCUUGCUUAAGAUUCUCUCUCCCUCUCUCUCUCUCCCUCUCUCUCUCUUGCUUUCUCUCUCCCUCCCCCUCUCUGUCUCUCUCCUUCUACCUUUCUCCUCCACUCAAUGCUCACCAUCUCUAAAGUAAAAAAUAUAAUCAUAAAAAAGUAAAAAGAACUAACAACAGCCAUGCAAAAUUUGGAUUUGUAAGCUAAAAAAUAUGGAAAGAUCUCUAAGAUAAGCUAAACUGAAAACAGGGCACAAAAUGAUGUGUACAGUAUGAUCCCAUUUAUGUAAAAAAUUGCCCAAACAGAAUAAAUAUAAGAAUUUAUAUUUACAUGCAUAUAAUACAUAUUUUAUACCAUAUGUACAUAUAUUUAUAAAAUAAAUUGCAUAAAAUAUAUGCCUUAUGUUUAUGUAAAUAUAUUAAGAUUUGGAAAAUAUGUAGCAGAUUAUAUUCUUGGUUUAUAGAAAGUAUGUGGGAUGCUAGAAAAUUAAGAACUCUUACAGUUUUGCAUACUUUACUUGGGUUUAUUUUUAACAAUAAGUUUAUAUUCAUGUAGUAAUUUUAUAAUGGAAAGAAAUACUUAUGUAUUAAAGGAAUGAGAAAAAGAAUGACCCAGGAAAAUUGCAGUCCCAUCCCCUAAUCAUCACAUGAAUAUAUCCCCUUGAAUACCUUGAAGAGAAUUGAGUAUUGGCUAACAAUCAUCAUAGCUCGAUACAGAAUAAGGUCUGUUAGACUGAUCUAAUCUUAUCUAACAGGGUGAAAAGCAUUGUCAAUUGAGGGAGGAACAAUGAAUAUGAUCUAUCCUGACUUUAAAAUACUUUGCUUCUUAUUGCUAAAUGAAUUUCUCACGAACUUGGGAAAAUACCAACUGGGGAACUGGUGGUAAAGAAUGUCAGUCAUAAAGUGGUGAUGAUAAGACAGUUUCAGUCUGAGAUCAGAGAGAAUAUGUGGUGGACCUAAGAUAGACUCUUAUUAUUUUAAUCAGUGCUCCAAAUUAUUAUAUCCUCAUUCAAAAUACAGAUGGCAUAGUCACUUAACAUUUUUAUAAUUUUUCUGUAUUCAGGUACUGGUUUGAAUAGAAGACAAAGAUAAAACAAGUUUUUAAGUCUUUUUUUUUUUAAGUGACUGGAAUAUGUACUUGAAAGACACUUCAGGAGCUUUUGUAAAAUAACAUCAAACUGAGUAUGAAAAUACGCAGAGUAAAGAAACAAUUAGAAUUCUGUAGAGUUAAUCACAGUGGGCUUCUUGGGAGGACAUGAGUUAAUCAGAGUUUAGGUAGAGGAGAAAUCAUAGGUUGGCUCAGGAGAGUAAUUCAAGUUAAGACAAAGCUUCCAAUGCGAUAUGGGGUUAGGGGAGCUUAUUUUUAGUAGUUUGAAAGCUAGGAUUAAAAUUCAAAAUAACUUGGUAAAUUAAGACAGACGUUAGAAAUAAUAUACCUUGCAUUUAUGUUUUUAACACUUCAUUUCCAAGAAUGCAGGUCAGAAAAGAAAUAGGGAAAAAAUAACUUACAUAAAACAUAAGGAAGUGAAUAGUUCUUUAUAGUUAUGACUGGAAAAUUUGUCAGGAGCCCGAAGCAAAUAUAUUCUGAAAGAGUUUGAAAUAAAAUGCUGUGUAGUUAAAACAGGAAAAUUUGAGGGCGCCUGUGUGGCUCAGUUGGUUGAGCGUCCCACUUCACCUCAGGUCAUGAUCUCGCGUUUUGUGAAUUCAAGCCCCACAUCGGGCUCACUGCUGUCAGCGUGGAGCCUGCUUUGGGUGCCCUGUACCCCCUCUCUCUCUCUCUCUGCCCCUCCCCUGCUUGCUCUUUCUCAAAAAUAAACAUUAAAAAAAAAGUUUAAAAAGAAAUUUAAAAAAAUAGGAAAAUUUUAUUCAAGGAUAUUAGCUGAGGUUCUUUUUCUUUUCAUAAUUAAAAUUAAUACCCAAGUUGGUCCCUAGGAUCAAUAGUAAUUAGUAUAUAAUUAAAACUGUAAAUCUUACAUAUAAAUUCUAGAAAUAACAAGAAGAUAUAGCUUAUAUUUUCUCCAUUUACUUGAGUUUUAUUUGCAUCUGGCAUAAUUUAUUUCCAUCUGGCUGCCUCAUGUCAGUUACCAAUCCACCUAUCUGUACCAUCACAAAUUGAACUUUUUUUUUCUCCUGAAAAAUGUCAGUUUUAAAGAGUUCUAUCAAAUAUGGCUCUGUAUUUUGUUUUCAUCUGAGAAGUCAGUGAUUUUUCUCUUAUGUAGGGGUCAUUGUAAGUAUUCAGUAUUCCUUAUCUCUCUCUCUCUCUCUUUUUUUUUUUUUUUUUUAACCAGUGCCUUGCCAGUGUCUUUCUUCAGCCAGUAUAUGUUGACAUCAAUUAUGUGCUCUGGAAUAGUGACCAAAAAUAGACAUAGGUCUUGCUCUUUUGAACUUAUCCUAAAGAGUAAAGAUAGUAAUCAAAUAAUUGUAUAAAUGAAUGCAGGGUUGGAACUAUUCCAAUUGCUGUAGAGAGGUACAUGGGAUUUAAUAUGAGGCUCUUAGAAGGAUAAUUUAACCAAUCAAUGGGAUCAAGGGAAGUUAGUUUUGGUUUUUGGUUUUUUGGAGGAAGUGCUUAGUUAACUGAAAUCUUGAUAAAUUAGUUAACUUGAUCAAGAGAGAGAAAAGUUUUCUGAAAGGAAGGAAUAGUAUGUACAACGGUACUGAGGGGUAAGGAGCAUAGUACCUAACAUUAAAUGAAGGUCAGAAUGGCAGAAGUUUCAAGAACUAGAGAGUGCAUAGUAAAAGGUGAUGCUAGGGAUUAAUGUAGGAACCAAACUGCAAGAUGUAGGCCAAUGUUUUCUUUUCCUUAUGAUUAAUAUUUAUAUUUAGACUAAUAUUCUUUAUUUUCAAUGCAAAAAUUUACUACCACAUAUAAAAGGGUUGUUUUAUAAGAGUUCACUUUUAUUUCAGUUUAAAACUCAAUGCUUUUUCUCAUGGAAUUAUGAUUAUAGUGAUCAGGUCUUAUAAAACCUCUUUAACACAGAUAACAAUGGAAAGUAGUGAACAUAACAUCAUGCCCUAAACAUAACUAGGUAGAGGUUAGAAAAGAAAAGGAAGAAAGGGUAUUAAAAUUGAUGUUUGUAUGUAUUCAAGAGAAUAUCCAGGGUGUGAUUGAGUUAUAAAUAAUGAAGAAAAAGAAAAAGUCUGCAAGUAUAGUAGGCUGAUAUAGGAUAUCAUAGCAAAUGAUUGUGAGGGACACAUUCAGUGGGACAUCUUGAGAAGACCUUUAACUGGCACCUGAACAUAUAAUGUGAUAUCUGUAGCAAACCAAGACAAACAGAGUAGAAGACAUCAUAUUCACAAACAGAAUAUCGCAAAUCUAGGGCGUAUUUGUGUUGAUGUUAUUAGAAUAUAAAUUUUUUUUUUAAUUCCCUUAAGAAAAGUAGAAUUACUAAUCACAGUACAAUGCCAACUUUAUUUUGCUAAUUUUUAGAAUAAUUUGUACAGUCAGAAUUAAUUAUAAAUUAUUAAGUUGCAUUAACUAUUUCAGGCCUCAAUAUUAGCUUUGAAAAUAUUGACGUAUCUCAAUUGAAGUUGUAGCUUUAAAGACAAAGUUGAAGAAAUUUAAUUUUUAAUUGUUAUUUUCCAUUUAAUUUAUAUUGCUGAUGAAAUAUCUUUAUGUUGAUCUUUAAAUUUUAAGCCUCUUUGAACACUGGUUUCUGUCUGUGUUAAGUAAGAAACCAUCUAAUUAAUAACUAAAAGUUCAAGAAAUAUCCCAAAUACUAAGAACAUUAUAAAAAUAGAUUAAGUCACUUUAGUUACUAUAAGACCAAAAUAUUGCAAAGAUGUGUUAAAUGGUAAGAAUGAGGUAAAUAUAUAUAAGCAUUUACCGAAGGGACAAGUUGUAUCACGUUACUAUUGGUUGGUGAAUUCUGCCAGUGCGUCAUCCAUCUGGUGAUCUUGAACUUCACUUUCUGGCGUUCUCAGAAAUGGCAAACCAUGGUUUUAAAGCAAGUUAACAUCUAAAAUUAAAAACUACAGAAUUGAGUUUGUGUUAUUUAUUCACUUAUUUGUCUUUUAACUAAUUUAUAAAGCAUUCUUAAUGAGACGGUAUCAGUAACAUUGGUUUAUUUUUCAUGCAGUGUCUAGCUGACCACUGAUGAUUCAUAGACCAUAAGUGUUUGGGAAGCUUACUGUGUUUGAAAAGAUAGUUUACCAAAUUAAUUUAAUAAUUCUGACGGGUCAAGGUACUUUUUAAACAGAAAUGAGGAAUCACUUGGGAAUUGUUUAGGGAUUGAUAUGUUCUAUGUUUUACAUUUACACCUUCCUGUUUUUCUUUCUAUCAAAGUGUGUUCCAGAGAUCCCUAGUUCUGUGAUAAGUUAAUAGGUAUGACACAGCCCCACCAAAGUUCCUUUAUCAAACUAAGUUUAGAAAGUAAGAUUAUGGGGCACCUGUGUGACUUGGUUAAGCAUCUGACUAUUUCGGCUCAGGUCAUGAACUCACAGUUCUGAGGAUAAGCCCCACACCAGGCUGUGCGCUGGGCAUGUAGCCUGCUUAGGAUCCUCUCUCCCUCUUGCUCUGCCCCUCCCUGAUGUGCACUCUCUUUCUCAAAGAAAAAUAUGAUUAUGAUUAAAGAAUGCUGGGUAGGAUUUUUUACUGCAGUAGUAAAUCACUAACAUGUAUCAAGUGCUUACUUUCUGCCAUUCACUUUGCUAAGUGUUUUACAUACAUUAUCUUAUUUAAUCCUCUUAACGACCAGAAAAAACAUUCAGAAGUAUAUUCUUCAUAUUAUACACUGCUUAUAAGCACCAAUACAAAAAAGUCUGCUAAGAAUGUAAAAGUGAGACAAAUAGCACUUUAAACUGUUACAAACCAAUAGCUUUGGAAAAGAAAGGUUACGAAAUUUAUGCUUAAAAUUAAAUAUUCAAUAGUAUGUUUCUCUGUAUAUUUUAUAUUUGGAAUGAACUAUUUAAUUUUUUGUUUGAGUAUAGUUGACACAUUAUAUUAGUUUUAGGUAGAUAACAUUGACUCAAUAACUUUGUAUGUUGUGCUGUGCUCACCACAAGUGUAACUGCCAUCUGUCACCAUGCAACACUAUUACAAUACCACUGACUAUAUUCCCUCUUCUGUACCUAUUAUUCCUGUGACUUAAUUGUUUCAUACGUGGAAAUGGUCACAUUUCUAUAUACUAAUAAUGAAGUAGCCGAAAGAGAAAUUAAGAAAACAGUUCCAUCUACAAUUACACCAGAAAGAAUAAAAUACCUGGGGAUAAACUUAACCAAGUAGGUGAAAGACCUGUACUCUGUAAACUAUAAAACACUGAUGAAAGAAAUUGAAGAUGACACAGGGGUGCCUGGGUGGCCUGUUGGGUUAAGUGUG